rnacentral:rRNA from 1 species
UGGGGAAUUUUGGACAAUGGGCGCAAGCCUGAUCCAGCCAUGCCGCGUGAGUGAAGAAGGCCUUCGGGUUGUAAAGCUCUUUCGCAAGGGAAGAAAACGUGUGGGCUAAUAUCCUGCGCGGAUGACGGUACCUUGACAAGAAGCACCGGCUAACUACGUGCCAGCAGCCGCGGUAAUACGUAGGGUGCGAGCGUUAAUCGGAAUUACUGGGCGUAAAGCGUGCGCAGGCGGUUGUGUAAGACAGGUGUGAAAUCCCCGGGCUUAACCUGGGAACUGCGCUUGUGACUGCACGGCUAGAGUACGGCAGAGGGGGGUGGAAUUCCUGGUGUAGCAGUGAAAUGCGUAGAUAUCAGGAGGAACACCGAUGGCGAAGGCAGCCCCCUGGGCCUGUACUGACGCUCAUGCACGAAAGCGUGGGGAGCAAACAGG